rnacentral:rRNA from 1 species
UACAGAGGUCUCAACCGUUGUUCGGAUUCAUUGGGCGUAAAGGGUGCGUAGGCGGUCGUGCAAGUCGGAUGUGAAAUCUCAGGGCUCAACCCUGAAACUGCAUUCGAUACUGCGUGGCUAGAGUGCUGGAGAGGAGACUGGAAUUUACGGUGUAGCAGUGAAAUGCGUAGAUAUCGUAAGGAAGACCAGUGGCGAAGGCGGGUCUCUGGGCCGAUACUGACGCUGAGGAGCGAAAGCGUGGGGAGCGAACAGG